AUUCAAACUAUAAUAAACGAAACCGUGAUUCAUGCAUAUGAACCCAUAGAAUAAACAUAUCAAAUACCAUACUGCAUUUAAAACUAUAAAAUAGAUCAAAUAACAACUGACCAAAAAAUACAUCAGAUUCGGGAUCCAUUAGUAGCCUUAAUUAAUUAUACAUAUGUAUUAAUUCAUGAAAUGUCAUUUUAUUAUUUAUUAAGCUUUAAUACCGUGAUAGGAAAUAGGGUGAGAAAUCCUUACUUGUUUCAGAAUCUGAAAUUGGGUUCUCACUGCGCCUACGGGCUGUCCCUAAAUUCCCUG
rnacentral:lncRNA from 1 species